rnacentral:rRNA from 1 species
AACGCGAAGAACCUUACCUGGGCUCGAAAUGCAGAGGAAGAUGUCAGAAAUGGCUUCGUCCGAAAGGACUUCUGUAUAGGUGCUGCAUGGCUGUCGUCAGCUCGUGUCGUGAGAUGUUGGGUUAAGUCCCGCAACGAGCGCAACCCUCGCCCUUAGUUGCCAUCAUUCAGUUGGGCACUCUAGGGGGACUGCCGGUGAUAAGCCGAGAGGAAGGUGGGGAUGACGUCAAGUCCUCAUGGCCCUUACGGGCUGGGCUACACACGUGCUACAAUGGCGGUGACAAUGGGAUGCUGAGGGGCGACCCCGAGCAAAUCUCAAAAAGCCGUCUCAGUUCGGAUUGCACUCUGCAACUCGAGUGCAUGAAGGUGGAAUCGCUAGUAAUCGUAGAUCAGAACGCUACGGUGAAUACGUUCCCGGGCCUUGUACACACCGCGCAUA